CAUGUUGAAACACCGGUUCUCAUACGAUCAACAAAGUUAAGCAAUAUCAAGCCUGGUUUGUAACUAGAUGGGCAACUACAUGGGAAUACCAAGUGUUGUAAG